rnacentral:rRNA from 1 species
CCUACGGGGGGCUGCAGUGGGGAAUAUUGGACAAUGGGGGCAACCCUGAUCCAGCCAUGCCGCGUGUGUGAAGAAGGCCCUCGGGUUGUAAAGCACUUUCAGUGAGGAAGAACGCCUGGUGGUUAAUACCCAUCAGGAAAGACAUCACUCACAGAAGAAGCACCGGCUAACUCCGUGCCAGCAGCCGCGGUAAUACGGAUGGUGCGAGCGUUAAUCGGAAUUACUGGGCGUAAAGCGCGCGUAGGUGGCUUGAUAAGCCGGUUGUGAAAGCCCCGGGCUCAACCUGGGAACGGCAUCCGGAACUGUCAAGCUAGAGUGCAGGAGAGGAAGGUAGAAUUCCCGGUGUAGCGGUGAAAUGCGUAGAGAUCGGGAGGAAUACCAGUGGCGAAGGCGGCCUUCUGGACUGACACUGACACUGAGGUGCGAAAGCGUGGGUAGCAAACAGGAUUAGAUACCCUGGUAGUC